GUACCAUCAGCGGCAGUAAUAGGAAGGGUACGANCGUUAAUGGGAAUUAGAGGGAGUAAAGNGCGCGUAGGUGUUUGGUAAGAUGGAUGAGANAUCUCGAGGCUCACCGUGGGAACUGCAUCCAUAGCUNCUUGACUAGAGUACGGUAGAGGGUGGUGGAAUAUCUCUGUGUAUCGGUGAGAUGAGUAGAUAUAGGAAGGAACGCCAGUGGCGAAGGNNUCCACUUGGAUUGAUACUGCCACUGAGGUGCGAUAGCGGGGGGAGCAAACAGAAUUAGAUACCUUGGUAGUCCGCGCUGUAACCGAUGUCGACUAACCGUUGGGAUCCUUGAGAUAUUAGUGGCGCAUCUACCGUGAUAAGUUGACCCCGUGGGGAGUGCGGCCGCAAGGUUAAAACUCAAAAGAUUUGAUGGGGGCCCGCACAAGCGGUGGAGCAUGUGGUUUAAUUAGAAGCAACGCGAAGACCCUUACCUGUCCUUGACAUGUCCGGAAUCUUGCAGAGAUGCGAGGGUGCUUUCGGGAAUCGGAACUCAGGUCAUGCAUGGUCUGUNCGUCAGCUCGUGUCGUGAGAUGUUGGGUUAAGUCCCGUACCGAGCGCAACCUUUGUCCUUAGUUCCCAGCAGGUUAUGGUGGGCACUCUAAGGAGACUACCGGUGACAACCCGGAGGAAGGUGGGGAUGACGUCAAUUCAUCAUGGCCCUUACGGCAAGGGCUACACACGUCAUACAAUGGUCGGUACAGAGGGUUGCCAAGCCGCGAGGUGGAGCUAAUCCCAUAAAACCGAUCGUAGUCCGGAUCGCAGUCUGCAACUCGACUGCGUGAAGUCGGAAUCGCUAGUAAUCGUGAAUCAGAAUGUCACGGUGAAUACGUUCCCGGGCCUUGUACACACCGCCCGUCACACCAUGGGAGUG
rnacentral:rRNA from 1 species